UGGGGAAUUUUGGACAAUGGGCGCAAGCCUGAUCCAGCAAUGCCGCGUGCGGGAAGAAGGCCUUCGGGUUGUAAACCGCUUUUGUACGGAACGAAAAGGCUCUGGCUAAUACCUGGGGCUGAUGACGGUACCGUAAGAAUAAGCACCGGCUAACUACGUGCCAGCAGCCGCGGUAAUACGUAGGGUGCGAGCGUUAAUCGGAAUUACUGGGCGUAAAGCGUGCGCAGGCGGUCUUGUAAGACAGAGGUGAAAUCCCUGGGCUCAACCUAGGAAUGGCCUUUGUGACUGCAAGGCUGGAGUGCGGCAGAGGGGGAUGGAAUUCCGCGUGUAGCAGUGAAAUGCGUAGAUAUGCGGAGGAACACCGAUGGCGAAGGCAGUCCCCUGGGCCUGCACUGACGCUCAUGCACGAAAGCGUGGGGAGCAAACA
rnacentral:rRNA from 1 species